UGCCAGCCGCCGCGGUAAUACGGAGGAUCCAAGCGUUAUCCGGAUUCAUUGGGUUUAAAGGGUCCGCAGGCGGAGUAUUAAGUCAGUGGUGAAAGCCGGCAGCUUAACUGUCGAAUUGCCAUUGAUACUGGUACUCUUGAGUGUAGUUGAAGUAGGCGGAAUAAGUCAUGUAGCGGUGAAAUGCAUAGAUAUGACUUAGAACACCGAUUGCGAAGGCAGCUUACUAAGCUACUACUGACGCUCAUGGACGAAAGCGUGGGGAGCGAACAGGAUUAGAUA
rnacentral:rRNA from 1 species